rnacentral:rRNA from 1 species
CCUACGGGGGGCAGCAGUGGGGAAUAUUGCACAAUGGGGGAAACCCUGAUGCAGCGACGCCGCGUGAGUGAAGAAGUAUCUCGGUAUGUAAAGCUCUAUCAGCAGGGAAGAAAAUGACGGUACCUGACUAAGAAGCCCCGGCUAACUACGUGCCAGCAGCCGCGGUAAUACGUAGGGGGCAAGCGUUAUCCGGAUUUACUGGGUGUAAAGGGAGCGUAGACGGCGCUGCAAGUCCGGAGUGAAAGCCCAGGGCUUAACCAUGGUACUGCUUUGGAAACUGGGGGGCUUGAGUGCGGGAGGGGCAGGCGGAAUUCCGAGUGUAGCGGUGAAAUGCGUAGAUAUUAGGAGGAACACCAGCGGCGAAGGCGGCUUGCUGGACCGUAACUGACGUUGAGGCUCGAAAGCGUGGGGAGCAAACAGGAUUAGAUACCCGGGUAGUC